ACUUCAGGAAUAUAGGUUUAGGACAAGGGAUCGAGAGCCUCUGGGAGAAGAAGCCUUUGUAGGAGGAGGCUCAGAUUUAGGGGAGUCUGUCUUGGCCAUGCCUCAAGGCCUACAUGUCAAUAGUUUGUCAAGGGCUCAACCAACGGAAAGAUGUCAUCUCCUUCCAGAGACUGGAAAGAGCUGGGAGAGGGGCAAGAGAAGUGUUUCAGAUGACCAAGAUUUCAUCAGUGUGAGCCUGCUUCCCCUGGCACAGAUCACAACCCCUCUAUACCUUUGCAGACAGUUCUUUGCCAGCUCCCAGAGGAGUUGAUUGGGGUCCUGGAAAGAGGAGUAGUAGGCCACCUAUCUGAGGUGAGGACAUCAGAGGCAGAACAGCAACAGUAGUUCCUGGUAAGGAAUUCACAGAAUGACAGGAUUGAAAGUGAUCUCAGAGGCCACCUAAUCCAGCCUGUACGUGAAC